rnacentral:rRNA from 1 species
AUUCCAGCACCAAUAGCGUAUAUUAAUGCUGCUGCUGUUAAAAAGCUCGUAGUUGGAUCAAGAGUCGGACAGUGCACGGUGGCCCUGUUUGUCAUAGUGGUUCCGAUCACUGUGACGGCAGCGGAUCAACCCCGUGCGCCAAACUGUCCGCUCUAACAGACCGAAACGGUUCCCUGUGAGUAGGCUCCUUAAUUGGGGCUGAAAGCGCUUACGCAUCAACCAUAUGCAUACGGGACGUCGGUCAAUGUUACUGUGAACAAACCAGCGUGUCCAAAACAGGCUUUCGCCUGAAUGUUCGAGCAUGGAAUAACAAGGGAUCGAUUCUCUCGGUUCUUUUUGUUGGUUUUUAACCCGAGAAGGAGUAAUUCAGUCCACGGUGUCUGAGUUGGGGUUUCCCUUCACCUCGGUGGAGGCCCCAAUUAGGCCGUGUACUUACGGGAUAAAUAGGGACUGACGGGGUCGUACGUACUUCCACGUCAGAGGUGAAAUUCUUAGAUCGUGGGAAGACGAACUUCUGCGAAAGCAUUCGACAAGAAUGUCUUCAUUAAUCAAGAACGAGAGUGUGGGGAUCGAAGAUGAUCAGAUACCGUCGUAGUCCACUACUGUAAACAAUGCCGUCUCAGGAUUGAGAAGUGAACAGAAUGACUUUCACAGCACUAACCCCUGAAACGAGAAAUCAAAGAUUAUGGGUUCAGGGGGGAGUACAUUCGCAAGGCUGAAACUUAAAGGAAUUGACGGAAUGACACCACAAGGCGUGGAGUAUGCGGCUUAAUUUGACUCAACACGGGGAAUUUUACUAGGUCAGGACAAUGUAAGGAUUGACAGAUUGAGAGCUCUUUCUCGAUCCAUUGUGUGGUGGUGCAUGGCCGCUCCUGGUUGGUGGAGUGAUUUGUCUGGUUGAUUCCGUUAACGAACGAGAUCUCGACCCUUAAAUAGGUGCCCAUGUCGAUUGUAGUUUCGCCUCCGCUCGCUUGCGAGAUUGGAGCGGGACGAGACUGUGGGAAUACUUCUUAGGGGGACUGUGUGCGUCUCUAGCACGCGGAAGAGCGAGCCAAUA